GCAUAUCAAUAAGCGCGGAGGAAAAGAAACUAACAAGGAUUCCCCUAGUAACGGCGAGUGAAGAGGGAAAAGCUCAAAUUUAAAAGCUGUUGUCUUUCAGGCAACCGCAUUGUAAUCUCAAGAAGUGUUUUCGAUUGUAGCCUGCGUAUAAGUACCUUGGAAUAGGUUGGCAUAGAGGGUGAAACUCCCGUCUUUGAUGCAGAUUACUAUGAUCAUGUGAUACACUUUCUAAGAGUCGAGUUGUUUGGGAAUA
rnacentral:rRNA from 1 species